AGCGUACACGGUGGAUGCCCUGGCAGUCAGAGGCGAUGAAGGACGUGCUAAUCUGCGAUAAGCGUCGGUAAGGUGAUAUGAACCGUUAUAACCGGCGAUUUCCGAAUGGGGAAACCCAGUGUGUUUCGACACACUAUCAUUAACUGAAUCCAUAGGUUAAUGAGGCGAACCGGGGGAACUGAAACAUCUAAGUACCCCGAGGAAAAGAAAUCAACCGAGAUUCCCCCAGUAGCGGCGAGCGAACGGGGAGCAGCCCAGAGCCUGAAUCAGUGUGUGUGUUAGUGGAAGCGUCUGGAAAGGCGCGCGAUACAGGGUGACAGCCCCGUACACAAAAAUGCACAUGCUGUGAGCUCGAUGAGUAGGGCGGGACACGUGGUAUCCUGUCUGAAUAUGGGGGGACCAUCCUCCAAGGCUAAAUACUCCUGACUGACCGAUAGUGAACCAGUACCGUGAGGGAAAGGCGAAAAGAACCCCGGCGAGGGGAGUGAAAAAGAACCUGAAACCGUGUACGUACAAGCAGUGGGAGCACGCUUAGGCGUGUGACUGCGUACCUUUUGUAUAAUGGGUCAGCGACUUAUAUUCUGUAGCAAGGUUAACCGAAUAGGGGAGCCGAAGGGAAACCGAGUCUUAACUGGGCGUUAAGUUGCAGGGUAUAGACCCGAAACCCGGUGAUCUAGCCAUGGGCAGGUUGAAGGUUGGGUAACACUAACUGGAGGACCGAACCGACUAAUGUUGAAAAAUUAGCGGAUGACUUGUGGCUGGGGGUGAAAGGCCAAUCAAACCGGGAGAUAGCUGGUUCUCCCCGAAAGCUAUUUAGGUAGCGCCUCGUGAAUUCAUCUCCGGGGGUAGAGCACUGUUUCGGCAAGGGGGUCAUCCCGACUUACCAACCCGAUGCAAACUGCGAAUACCGGAGAAUGUUAUCACGGGAGACACACGGCGGGUGCUAACGUCCGUCGUGAAGAGGGAAACAACCCAGACCGCCAGCUAAGGUCCCAAAGUCAUGGUUAAGUGGGAAACGAUGUGGGAAGGCACAGACAGCCAGGAUGUUGGCUUAGAAGCAGCCAUCAUUUAAAGAAAGCGUAAUAGCUCACUGGUCGAGUCGGCCUGCGCGGAAGAUGUAACGGGGCUAAACCAUGCACCGAAGCUGCGGCAGCGACGCUUAUGCGUUGUUGGGUAGGGGAGCGUUCUGUAAGCCUGCGAAGGUGUGCUGUGAGGCAUGCUGGAGGUAUCAGAAGUGCGAAUGCUGACAUAAGUAACGAUAAAGCGGGUGAAAAGCCCGCUCGCCGGAAGACCAAGGGUUCCUGUCCAACGUUAAUCGGGGCAGGGUGAGUCGACCCCUAAGGCGAGGCCGAAAGGCGUAGUCGAUGGGAAACAGGUUAAUAUUCCUGUACUUGGUGUUACUGCGAAGGGGGGACGGAGAAGGCUAUGUUGGCCGGGCGACGGUUGUCCCGGUUUAAGCGUGUAGGCUGGUUUUCCAGGCAAAUCCGGAAAAUCAAGGCUGAGGCGUGAUGACGAGGCACUACGGUGCUGAAGCAACAAAUGCCCUGCUUCCAGGAAAAGCCUCUAAGCAUCAGGUAACAUCAAAUCGUACCCCAAACCGACACAGGUGGUCAGGUAGAGAAUACCAAGGCGCUUGAGAGAACUCGGGUGAAGGAACUAGGCAAAAUGGUGCCGUAACUUCGGGAGAAGGCACGCUGAUAUGUAGGUGAAGUCCCUCGCGGAUGGAGCUGAAAUCAGUCGAAGAUACCAGCUGGCUGCAACUGUUUAUUAAAAACACAGCACUGUGCAAACACGAAAGUGGACGUAUACGGUGUGACGCCUGCCCGGUGCCGGAAGGUUAAUUGAUGGGGUUAGCGCAAGCGAAGCUCUUGAUCGAAGCCCCGGUAAACGGCGGCCGUAACUAUAACGGUCCUAAGGUAGCGAAAUUCCUUGUCGGGUAAGUUCCGACCUGCACGAAUGGCGUAAUGAUGGCCAGGCUGUCUCCACCCGAGACUCAGUGAAAUUGAACUCGCUGUGAAGAUGCAGUGUACCCGCGGCAAGACGGAAAGACCCCGUGAACCUUUACUAUAGCUUGACACUGAACAUUGAGCCUUGAUGUGUAGGAUAGGUGGGAGGCUUUGAAGUGUGGACGCCAGUCUGCAUGGAGCCGACCUUGAAAUACCACCCUUUAAUGUUUGAUGUUCUAACGUUGACCCGUAAUCCGGGUUGCGGACAGUGUCUGGUGGGUAGUUUGACUGGGGCGGUCUCCUCCUAAAGAGUAACGGAGGAGCACGAAGGUUGGCUAAUCCUGGUCGGACAUCAGGAGGUUAGUGCAAUGGCAUAAGCCAGCUUGACUGCGAGCGUGACGGCGCGAGCAGGUGCGAAAGCAGGUCAUAGUGAUCCGGUGGUUCUGAAUGGAAGGGCCAUCGCUCAACGGAUAAAAGGUACUCCGGGGAUAACAGGCUGAUACCGCCCAAGAGUUCAUAUCGACGGCGGUGUUUGGCACCUCGAUGUCGGCUCAUCACAUCCUGGGGCUGAAGUAGGUCCCAAGGGUAUGGCUGUUCGCCAUUUAAAGUGGUACGCGAGCUGGGUUUAGAACGUCGUGAGACAGUUCGGUCCCUAUCUGCCGUGGGCGCUGGAGAACUGAGGGGGGCUGCUCCUAGUACGAGAGGACCGGAGUGGACGCAUCACUGGUGUUCGGGUUGUCAUGCCAAUGGCACUGCCCGGUAGCUAAAUGCGGAAGAGAUAAGUGCUGAAAGCAUCUAAGCACGAAACUUGCCCCGAGAUGAGUUCUCCCUGACUCCUUGA
rnacentral:rRNA from 1 species